rnacentral:rRNA from 1 species
CCUACGGGAGGCAGCAGUGAGGAAUAUUGGUCAAUGGGCUUACGCCUGAACCAGCCAAGUCGCGUGAGGGAAGACUGCCCUAUGGGUUGUAAACCUCUUUUGUCAGGGAGCAAUUGGCGCUACGUGUAGCGUUAUCGAGAGUACCUGAAGAAAAAGCAUCGGCUAACUCCGUGCAAGCAGCCGCGGUAAUACGGAGGAUGCGAGCGUUAUCCGGAUUUAUUGGGUUUACAGGGUGCGUAGGCGGAAUGCCACGUCAGCGGUAAAAUCGGGGGGCUCAACCUCGCUCCGACGGUGAAACUGGCGUUGUUGGGUGGGCGAGAAGAAGGCGGAAUGCGUGGUGUAGCGGUGAAAUGCAUAGA